rnacentral:rRNA from 1 species
AACGGUAACAGGAAACAGCUUGCUGUUUCGCUGACGAGUGGCGGACGGGUGAGUAAUGUCUGGGAAACUGCCUGAUGGAGGGGGAUAACUACUGGAAACGGUAGCUAAUACCGCAUAACGUCGCAAGACCAAAGAGGGGGACCUUCGGGCCUCUUGCCAUCGGAUGUGCCCAGAUGGGAUUAGCUAGUAGGUGGGGUAACGGCUCACCUAGGCGACGAUCCCUAGCUGGUCUGAGAGGAUGACCAGCCACACUGGAACUGAGACACGGUCCAGACUCCUACGGGAGGCAGCAGUGGGGAAUAUUGCACAAUGGGCGCAAGCCUGAUGCAGCCAUGCCGCGUGUAUGAAGAAGGCCUUCGGGUUGUAAAGUACUUUCAGCGGGGAGGAAGGGAGUAAAGUUAAUACCUUUGCUCAUUGACGUUACCCGCAGAAGAAGCACCGGCUAACUCCGUGCCAGCAGCCGCGGUAAUACGGAGGGUGCAAGCGUUAAUCGGAAUUACUGGGCGUAAAGCGCACGCAGGCGGUUUGUUAAGUCAGAUGUGAAAUCCCCGGGCUCAACCUGGGAACUGCAUCUGAUACUGGCAAGCUUGAGUCUCGUAGAGGGGGGUAGAAUUCCAGGUGUAGCGGUGAAAUGCGUAGAGAUCUGGAGGAAUACCGGUGGCGAAGGCGGCC